GACGGGGGGGGCAAGUGUUCUUCGGAAUUACUGGGCUUAAAGGGUACGUAGGCGGCGCUGUCAGUCGGGUGUGAAAGCCCUCGGCUCAACCGAGGAAUUGCGCCCGAUACUGCAGUGCUUGAGGGAGACAGAGGUAAGCGGAACUGAUGGUGGAGCGGUGAAAUGCGUUGAUAUCAUCAGGAACACCAGUGGCGAAAGCGGCUUACUGGGUCUCUUCUGACGCUGAGGUACGAAAGCUAGGGGAGCGAAGGGG
rnacentral:rRNA from 1 species